AACUGGCGCAGACGGCCGCCAUCUUGUCUUCUUCGUCUUCCUAACAGUUGAGCUUCGUCUGAACAGGCCUUUUUUGUUGCUUUUCUCUUGGAAUUAGCGUCCAGUAUAAUUCAGCAAACGAUGGACCUGCUGUUCCAUCCUGAGCAACUGAUCAGAGGCGGAUGCUAUUAACAUCUACGUCUAUGGACUCUAUACCUUCCCUGACCCUGUUCUCCACUGGAUCCAGAACCUGGAGGUGCUGGUCGAGCAGCUGCCUCUGAAGUCGGCUGCUGGUCUCCCUCUCCUCAGUCAGCUCCCUCUGGAGGUGGCGGUACUGCGCCUCCUUCCUGGUCGCCUCCUCCUCAGCCUCGUUCAGCUGACGCUUCAGGGUGCGGAGCCUCUGGGUCAUCUGCAGAACCAAACGCACAGAUCGGCUCAGUACUGGCAUUCUUUUCUUAAAAAUUUGGGUUAGAAACAGACCAACAGGAGAUGGAUGACGACCAGAUAAACGAACCAUCAGAGGUCCGAGCAGCAUCAGCAGAGUUCUUUGUGUUUGUCUUUAGAAUGUGGACUUCCUGUUCAGCUCACCUCUCCUCAGCU